CCGCCUCGAAGCUCCCUUCCCAACGGGCGGUGGGCUGAAUCCUUUGCAGACGACUUAAAUACGCGACGGGGCAUUGUAAGUGGCAGAGUGGCCUUGCUGCCACGAUCCACUGAGAUCCAGCCCCAUGUCCGACGGAUUCGU
rnacentral:ncRNA from 1 species